AGAGUUUGAUCCUGGCUCAGGGUUAACGCUGGCGGCGUGCCUAACACAUGCAAGUCGAACGGUUCUAAGCGCGAGCUUAGGAUAGUGGCGAACGGGUGAGUAAAAGGUAGGAAUCUACCCCUUGGACGGAGAUAGCUACUGGAAACGGUAGGUAAACUUCGAUAAGCCCGAGAGGGGAAAGUGGUGAGACAGCCGAGGGAUGAGCCUACUCUCCAUCAGGUAGUUGGUGAGAUAAAAGCUUACCAAGCCGAUGACGGAUAACCGGUGUGAGAGCAUGAACGGUCACAAGGGCACUGAGAGACGGGCCUUACUCCUACGGGAGGCAGCAGUGGGGAAUCUUGGACAAUGGGCGAAAGCCUGAUCCAGCGACGCCGCGUGGAGGAAGAAGUCCUUCGGGAUGUAAACUUCUGAACUAGCCGAAUAAAAGGCCUGUGGACACACAGGAGAAGAAAGUAGGCUAGGAAAAGUCCCGGCUAACUACGUGCCAGCAGCCGCGGUAAGACGUAGGGGGCAAGCGUUACCCGGAAUUACUGGGCGUAAAGGGGGCGUAGGCGGUAAAAGAAGUCAUCUGUGAAAACCUAUUGCUCAACGAUAGGCUAGCGGAUGAAACUGAAUUACUUGAGGGCACCAGAGGUAGACGGAAUUACCCGAGUAGGGGUGAAAUCCGCAGAUACGGGUAGGAACGCCGGUGGAGAAGUCGGUCUACUGGGGUGCACCAGACGCUGAGGCCCGAAAGCUAGGGGAGCAAACCGGAUUAGAUACCCGGGUAGUCCUAGCCGUAAACGAUGCUCACUAGGUGUAGGGAGUGAUAAACUCUCUGUGCUGAAGCGAACGCGCUAAGUGAGCCGCCUGGGGAGUACGUCCGCAAGGAUGAAACUCAAAGGAAUUGACGG
rnacentral:rRNA from 1 species